rnacentral:rRNA from 1 species
ACGGGGGGUGCGAGCGUUGUCCGGAAUCACUGGGCGUAAAGGGCGCGUAGGUGGUUUGAUAAGGGUGUGGUGAAAGUCCGGGGCUCAACCCCGGAUCUGCCGUGCCGACUGUCAAACUCGAGGGCUGUAGAGGCAGACGGAAUUCCGGGUGUAGCGGUGGAAUGCGUAGAGAUCCGGAGGAACACCAGAGGCGAAGGCGGCCUACUGGGCUGCACCUGACGCUGAACCGCGAAAGCCAGGGGAGCGAACGGGA